AUAAAAUUACAUCUUUUUUCAGGGCUCGGUCCAUAAUCAUUGGUCGUGUGUCACUGACUCCCAAGCAUUUAAUCCAAAGAAACAUCCCUCCUUGCGGAACAUUCCACUCGGCAAGUCCUAAGCGAAAAAGGAUAAUUUACAGUUGGCAAUUACCACUGGGUUCCUGAUAACGAAAGUUAAACGAGUAAAUACCUGGGACAGGGAUGAAGCAUGAAGAACUGAGACUUGCAUGUGGUACGUAAUUGGUUCGACUAAUUCGCGGGGACCUGUGACGUACCCAAGGCGAAUGCCAGAGCUCAAUACUUUGGAAAGAGAAUCGAAUCGAAUGACUCGACCGUCAGUGUCUAGUGAAAGGAAACUUGGAGUCCGUUCCUGCAGAUGAGUUUGGUUUACCAAGCUAAUUUUACAUCAAAGCAGGUGUUUCAAGUACCUUGUCAAACUGUAAAAAGUAAUAAGGAUCAUCCUCAAAGAUAAUUAAAUCAAAAUCUUUGGCUAUCUGAUAGAUCUCUUGUCGUCUGCUCAACGGAAUAGAAACGCCUGUUGGAUUGGCUCCAGCUGGAUUAACGUACAACACCUAUACAGAACAUCAGACUUGGAGGAUUGGGUGUCUUCCGAUUUCCAUUUGCUUUCUAAAGAGCGCCUUAAUUCCUCGGGUAUCAAUCCGUUUGCAUCGCACUGCACUGGGAUGUACUGUGGUUUGUAAGGGUUUAGCUGCGAUAUCGUAAAACAUCAGUUAAUGAAUGCAGUUUCUAUUUGUUUGUACAAGACUUACAAUUGCAAGAGUUCCAGCGUACACAGGUUCUUGAACAAUGACAUGAUCAUUUAAGUUCAUCAUCAUCUCAAAAGCUUUACACAGCCCAUCUUGACUUCCAUUAGUAAUAAGAACUUCUGUAUUUGUCCAACAAGGUGGGCUGUGAAGCUUUUGCUGCAUUUCUUUUAGUUGUGCCAAUAGUGGACCAUACCUGAUUUUUCAACAAAAUUUGAUUUCUGAAAAGCAUCAGAAAUUAAGUUUUUUUACCCCUGAGUUGGCCCAUAUUGUAAUGCGUCAUUUAUUGUCUUCCCUUCGAGCUGUAUUGUGCUACCAUCUCUUAAAUUAAUUGAGGCACCCUGAAAAGGAAACAUACUUGGGUUGGGAACUCCACUUGCCAAAAAUACCAGGUCAGGAGAUCCUUGGGUCAGUAGCUUAGCUAUUAUGCCAGCAAUUAGUUUUACCGUUGCAAUUACAAAAGAACUGCUUAACAAUACUCAUUUCUCGGAUAGGCGAUGGUUUUCGAGCUGCGGACAAUCCAUUAAUGAAUCUGGUGUAAUUCAUUGUUGUUAUAACUAGUAUUGUAUGGCGAUAAAAAUGUUUCACACUAACUAUGCACUGUUGCACUGCUGGAGCUACUGCCAAAUUCAGAGCGGGACCUAAACUGCAAUUUCAUUUGGCAGCCUUCCUAAAA